GGGCCCCGCGGGAGCUUCGUUCUGAGAAGAGGUCGAUGGCGCCGGAGUUUGCGGCCUCCGCGCAGCAAUGGGUCUGCCUGCCGCGGAGAUGGGUGUGUCACCGGCCUCGCUGGGCUCAGGCUCUUACGUCAUAAAACAAGAAGGUAGCUGAAUCCAGGCCAGAGAUCAAGAAGAUUUUAACUAACACUUGCUCAAGAUUCGUUCCCUAAAGUUGAGGAAACUGAGGCUUGAAGAAGUUGCACAAUUUGGCUGAAAAUCCAGUAAAUAAUAGAGUGAAGAUUGGAUCUGAGACCUUCUGAUUCCAAGAUGGAAGCUAUGAACUGGCUUUUGGAAAUGGGCAGUCAAUGUCGAACACAGUAGCAGCAUAACUGGCUUAUUCUGAUUGAUGGGCAUACCCUAUAAUGCAGAUGUGACCCACAGAGGAACUCAAGAGUGGUGAAGAAUGUUUGGCGUGCUCUUAAGGGAUAUUGUUCUCCAGUCUUAAAACAAAGAUGAAAACACUCAUUGUCCAGCUCCAAGAACUCUACUAGCCAGUGGAGACAGAUGUAUACACAGGUAAAUACAAAUGCAUAAGAGACUGGUGAAGGAUUGUUCAUCUUACUUAAUAGAUGUUCAUGACUAGGUCAGGGAACAAAAUUUGCCUAAGGCAGCUCGUCUUCUAGUUUUAUCAUCAUUAAUUAAUUUUGGACCAUUUAACACAUGCAUAGAGCUGUGCUAUUUCUAGAAAUAUAUGAAAUGGGAAUAUGAUAGCCCAUCUCAGCUAAUCAGCCUCUUCUUCCUGGCUCUGGAGGUUUUAAAAACAGUGACUCAUAAAAUAUUUCCCAGGCAACCGUCUAUCCAGUCUUCCCACAAGUCUGAAUUUGUCAGCCUGUCUCGAUUUUAUCUAAGAAAUUAAAUCUCAAUUUUAGUAUUAUUAGCACUUUUACUGGCUUACCAUUUUUAAAAGAGAACAUGUAAAUUAUAAUGAAGAUAAAUAAGAAAUGAAAAGCCUUAAAUACAAUGGCAAUGAUUUUUAGUAAAUGACCAUUAACAAAGAUUUCCAGAAAUUAAUCGGCACAGAUGGGCAUGGCAAUCACUUAUGAAGGAAGUCUUCAUAGAAAUGCUUGGCUGUGAGGGUUCUAGGAAAUAUUGUCUGAUACACUGUACAACCUUUCCAAAGGAUAAUUUUUGAAUAUGAGUUAAGAAGCUUAAAGGGGUUUUCAUUUUUGAAGUAAUUAUUCCAUUUCUUGAAAUCUACAUUAAAGAAAUCAGAGGUUUACAUAUCAUUGCAAUGAUAUGUGUUAUGGCAAAUAUUCUAAACAGCCUCAAAAAUAGGGAAAAAUUUAAAAGAAUUAUUGGUAGAACCAUACUAUAGGAUACUACACAAUCAUGCAAAAUUACGUUUUCAAAAACUUCAUGUGUAUAAUGACAUAAGUAUAUGCUCUCUGUAUAGCACAAGCUGGAAAAAAAUCAAGUUACAAGAGAUAUGUACGGUUGAUUCCAAUUUAGAUAUGUUACAUAAAAGAGAUUGGAAGAAAAUACACCAAAAUAGUUUUCUCUGGCUAGUGAGAUUACAGAUGGUCUUCCCAUUCUGGAUUUUCCAAAUUUUCUACAAUCAGUUCUGUGGGGAGGAGGGGCUAUUUUUUGUAAAUGUUUGCUUUGUGCAAUAAAAGGUCAAUCCUUAUGAUUGGAAAAGGAGGAUGUUUAGAAGUAUGGAGCAUACUGAAGGUUUCCAUGGAAAGAAUAUAAAGGACAUGCUUCAUACUUUACCUAAACAUUGUUGCAUAUUCAUCUAUGUUCCCAUCCAGGCCUUACAACAUUCUCUAUAAAGAUCUAUCACUUCUUAGGGAAAACAAAAAAGAAGCAAAACACAUUGAGUGGUUACCAUAUGCCAGGUACCUUCACAUAUAUUGUCUUAUAUGAUCCUCACAGAAAUCUAUAACAUUGACUUCUAAUACAUUUAGGCAACUUACUCAAAGUGAUAGAAAUAUUACCUUAUUAGACCCAAGAUCUGAAAUCCAAUAACAAGUUCCUACUAUAUAGCAAAGGAAGCUAUAUUCAAUAUCCUGUGAUAAACCAUACUUGAAAAGAAUAUGAAAAACAAUGUGUGUGUGUGUAUAUAUAUAUGUGUGUGUGUGUAUAUAGGUAUAUAAUUGAAUCACUUUGCUAUGCAGCAGAAAUUAACACAAUUGUAAAUCAAGUAUACUCCAAUUAAAAAAAUAAAUUACAAAAAUGAAACCCAGUCCAGUGACUCCAGGCCAAGAGUUUAUCACAACUGCCUCCUUUAUGUACAUCUGCACAACUGAAAUAUACUUAUAGGCAAAAAAGUGUCCAUGUUAUUUCAAUUACUUGUCAACUUAGAGAAUUAAGACAUUUGUAUUUUGCACUAACUUAAGUAUAUGAUUAUUUAUAUAUCCUAUAUAUUGACUACUUGCCUGUUUUUUUAAGCUCUGCUGUCUGUUACCAUCAGUAUCAAAAACAAGUUUCAGGCUGUUUUACGCAGAACAGAUACAUGGUUCUUCUCAAACAAUAAGCUUUCCCUAACAUUUUUAAAGAAUUUGUUAAAGACAAAUAAACAAAAAAUGAAAAACCUUGAGUCAUAAAUUGUGUAUUUAAAUUUGUCUUUACCGAUUCACUUCUUUAAAUUACUUUCCAAAUGACUAGAGAUAUGUGUUUAUUUUUCCUGGCAAUCCCUUAAUACACACCAUCCUACCCCUGCCCCCACACUCCCUGCCACACUAAAGAAAUCAAUCUCACUUAUCUCCAUUAAUCCUAGACUAAAACCAACUUCAAAUUUUGGUUCAACAUUCACCAACUGAAGACAGUUUUCUAGGACUGGCCCAGUUCUGCUUUGAUCAUUUACUCUGUUGCUAUUAGUGAUGUAUUUUAUAUGUCCUAAAUUAUUUCGCACUUCUCCAUGUAUCAUUUUGUGUUUGUUCUCAUUCACUUUAUUUCUACAUAUUUGCAUUCUAAGUUUCAGGAGUCCUGACCCCUUCUUUUAUAUCAUCACAGAUGCUUUGUUAAAUGUCAUGAACAUUUCUAUAUUCAUUAUGUACAUAGUGGGUGUCCAAUAAAUACUUGUUAAUUAACUGUGCCCAGCUCACUCCUACCUAUUCACCCACAAACAUAGAUUCCCAAGAAAAUCAACGAAAUGAAAAAUGAACAGGUGAAGAAGAGGACACCAUAUUUGAAUUGGCAUACAAGCCUAUUCUCUCUUUUGCUUUACUAAUUUGUCUUGGGCUAGGGAAAAGAGGUUUGGUAUAUCUCCUAGCUUUUUAAGGAAUUUCAGGAUUGCUGGCCAAUUCCAGGCUCUUCCAUUGUGAUUGAAUCUCAGUGGAAAUAUUGUGAAAGUUCAAAUUACAUUAGUUUGGUCUUUUAUGUCGAAAAUUUAGUUAAGUUCAAAAAUAUCACUAUGUGUUAAUUUGCCCCUGCAGCUGUUGAAAGCUUAAUAUUAAAAAAAAAAAAACUGAUCUGAUCUAAGAGCUUUUAUAUAUGAGAAUUUCUACCAAAUGUAUGACCUUACUUAAAUCAUUUAACCACUCAACAACUUGCAGUUUCUUCAUCUACAGAAUAGGGAUAAUAAUACACUGAUCAUGUCACCUGGAUGGUUGUAAGGAUCCUAUGAGAUGAUGUAUAUGAAAGCACAUUAUAAACUCUGGUGAAAUAUACAAAUAUGAACUUACAUUUUUAAUGCAGAUCUCACCAUAUACUCUUUCGGUUAUGAUUUUUAAUAUCUCUAAUUAUUUGUGAGGCUAAAGGAUAUAGUUUCCAUUAAUGCGUGAAGAUACCUCCUUGUCUGCAUUGAGAUAGUUUCCAUUUCCAUGCUUCCUGCUAGCUUUAUUGACUGAUAAUCAACACACGUCACAUGCUCUUUAGAAACAGACCUAUUUUAGUCACUGGUAUUACAAUCUGAUCCUUUGUUCCUAUGGUACAGACUGUCCCCUCAAGUACAGUAUAAAAAAAAAAAAAGGUAUAUUCAGUUAAAAUCUUUGCACAGUCUUAAGUGUACAGAUAAAGUCCAUUCUAACUGUGCAAAAUAAACUAUGUUUCUUAAACAAGAUUUCAUUCAUUUUUACCACACCCUAUCAGUUCCUCUAUCAAAACUUUGCUUUUUUAAUUGGUUCUGGAAAAAUUUCCAAAUAUGACUCUUCAAAAUGUUUAGUUAUAUGGCAUUAGAACUCCCUAUAAUAUCCUUCAGUAGUUAGAGGAAAUGGAGAGGAAAAAAAGGUAUGAAAAUCAUCACAGGUAAUAUGCCCUUCUCCUUUAAUCUCAUUGAAAUGACCCCGAAGGAGUUCCCAGGAGGAGUUCUUAACCUAGUAGAUUAAGGAUCUGACUGAAGCAGUUCGGGUCACUGUGUAGGUACGGGUUCAGAGAAGUAGGUUAAAGGAUCUGGUGUUGUCACAGCUGUGGCAUAGGUUGGAUUUGAUUCCUGGCCCAAGAAUGUCCAUACACUACAGAUGUGGCCAUAAAAUUAAAUUAAAAAAAAAAAAGGACAAUUAAGUAUGUUCCAAAAAAAAAAUGACCCAGGAAAUAAAAAUAUAUAUUUGUGAGCAAACCUACAUCAGCAAUGGGCAAAGGGACAAGCACUUACUAGCAACAUUAGAAAACAAUCUACUAGAGGUGGGCAGACUAAUCUGAGCUGAAAAAGGAACUGCUGUAUCCAAAGGGGACAUAAGUAUAGGAGACCCCAGCAGAUUCUCAAUACUAUCCCUCACAUGGAGGGACUGGAGGCAAGACUCCUAAAGUCAGGGGCAUUCUAGAAAGCCACCACAGAGACUCUGAGAAAAACAUCAGUCCCAGAGAGUAUACAGAGGGGUUUGCUCUUGACAUAUUUUUUUAACUCAAAUAUAAACACACUAUACCCAUUACUCUGCUUUGGAUAUUUUUCCAUAUCAGAAUAUAUAGAUCUACUGCUUUAUUUAUUUAUUUUUUUUUAAGGGCCACACCUGUGGCAUAUGGAGUCAAAUCAGAGCUACAGCUGCCAGUCUAUGCCGUAGCCACCACAAUGCCAGAUCUAGCUGCAUCUGCAACCUACACCAUAGCUUGGGGCAAUGCAGGAUCUUUAACCCACAGAGUGACACCAGGAUCGAACCCGCAUUCUGGAUACUAGUGGGGUUCUUCACCCGCUGAGCCAUGAUGCGAACUCUUACUGCAUUAUUUCUAAUGUUUCGGUCACAUUGCUGUAUAGCUGUAUCACAUCUGUGUAUAUUGCUGAAAGAAUAGUUAACUAAAUUCCAAAAAGUAAAUUGCUAAUCUACAGGUGUGAAAAUUUCAUUUCGAUUAAUACUAUCAAAUUGCCCCCCUUAAAAUAUCAAAGCCACCUAUCCCACCACCGAAGUAUAAAAGUAUUAGUAUGUACAAAUUCUUACCAAUUACCAUACUUUAAUUUUUUAGCUGUAAUGUUAUCUAUUUUUUGCAAUCUUUUAACUUUUUUUACCACUCUAGAGGGUAAAGGUGACAUUUCAUGUUCUUUUCAUUGUUUCUUGGGUGACUCAUGAGGUUUAGCGUUAUUUUCACACAUUUGUAAACCACUGUAUUUCUUCCUCUGUGAAAUUUUUACUCUUUCCCUUUUCUUCAUUUGGGUUGUUUUUCACUUGGGUCAGUUCUUCACUUGGGUUGUUUUUGUUUGUUUGUUUGUUCUUUUUGUCUUUGUCUUUAUAAGCAGGAGAAUAGAUAAGAGAACAGAAGCUGGAGCCAGCCCAGCUGGACUCAAACCGCAGCUCUACCACUUAGUACUCCUUUCCUCACCUAGAAAAGUAUGAUAAUGCUGGAAACUACCAUAUAGUGUUGUUUCAGGACUUUUGAAUGACUUAAAAUUUAAAAGUACUUAGAACAGUGCCAGGCACAGAGAGAUAUUCUUUUCCAUUACGGUUUAUCACAAGAUAUUGAAUUUAGUUCCCUGUGGUAUAUAGUAGGACCUAGUUUUUUUACACAUUCUAUAUGUAAUAGUUUGCUAAUCCCAAACUCCCAAUUCAUCCCCACCCUCUCCUUGGCAAUCACAAGUCUAUUCUCUACAUUUGUGAGUCUAUUAGAAAAAGAUUCUAAUAUCAUACUCAGAAAGGUAAUUCUCACUCUAAGAUUUUAAAAGUCUUCUUCCACAUGUCCUUGCAAUGAUUUUAUUUUAUUUUAUUUUAUUUUGACCUUGGGCUCUUUAAUCUAUUUGAGAUUUAUUUUUAGAAACUGGAUAAAAUAACACAAACUUUACUCUUUUCUUCAUGGAUAGCCAGUUGUCCUGCUCUUUCUUUUACUCAUUAAUUUGAAAUACUCAAAAACUGACAUCACAACUGGGAUUGCUUUGUUUCCCUAUCACCUUGGAGAGGAUUGGUAAUUUUACAACAUGAGUUGUCCUACAUUAGGACAUGGUAAUUACUCUAUUUUUUCUGGUCUUACCUUGUAUCCUCAGUUAAGGUUUUGUGGUUUUUCUUUGUAAAAAUCUUACCCAUCUCUUGCUCAUUAUAUUCUUAAGCAUGUCUUUAAUUUACCAAUUGCAUUUACUAUGUACUGAAUUACAGUAAUGUAUUUCCCAGUGUUGAAUCAUCCUCAUUGACUGUAGGAGUCUAUUCAAUGAUUUCUUAUGAAAUAUGUCAAACAUACAGAAAAAAAGCAUUACAUAUAUUUAAUUUAUAUUAUAUUUAUGUCAUAUUUAAUAGAAGACUAACAUAGUAUAAAUUAAAUACCUGUGUAUUAUUUGCCAUUGAUCUUUGUCAAAUCUAAACAUUUUGUGAUAUUUAUAUAAUUGGAGGGGGGAUGGAAAUUCAUCAAUACAGCCAGAGUCCCUAACAUACCUCUCCCAGAUUCCAUUCCCAGAUUCCAUUCCCCUUGCUCCCUACUCAGUUAUAACCAUUAUCCUGAAUUAAAGGUUUAUCAUUACCAUGGAUGUGUUUUUAAUAUUAGUACAUAUAAAUAACUCAUAAUUUAUACCAUGUAGUAUUUUUCAACCUGUACGUGAAUUGCAUGAUACUGUAUUUUCAUUCUGCAGCUUGGUUUUGUUUUUGUUUUUUGACUCAAAAAAAAAAUUUUUUUUUUCUUGUCUUUUAUUAGAGCCACACCAGCGGCAUGUGGAGGUUCCCAGCUUAGGGGUCUAAUCGAAGCUGUAGCCGCUGGCCUACACCACAGCCAUAGCAAUUUUACCAGGUCCAAACCACGUCUGUGACCUACACCACAGCUCAUGGCAAGGCCGGAUCCUUAACCCACUGAGUGAUGCCAGGGAUCGAACUCGCAAACUCAUGGUUCCUAAUUGGAUUCGUUUCUGCUGCGCCACGACGGGAAUUCCGAAAAAUUUUUUUAAUUAUUGAUGCCUGUAGUUCUAGCUUAUUCGACAGAGGUGUGGUACUCCAGUUUAUGAAUAUAUUUCCAUUUGUUCAUUCUUCCGCUGACCGACAUACAGGGUGUUUCCAAUGCUUUCCUAAUGUAUGUGGCGCUAUGAUGAAUACUCAUGUGCAUGUAGAUUUUCCCCAGAGCUGUACUACCCAAUACUUUAGCCACUUCUCUAAAUAGCUUGUUCGUAUCUUUGCCCACUUUUCUGUCAGACUUGUUUCUCCUUUUCUUUUAUAUUUGUAGUAGCAAUUUAUACAUUUAGAAUAUUUGUAUAUUAUAUUAGUUACAUGUGGUAUAAAUAUUUUCUCCCAUUCUGAACUUUUCUUUCAACUUUGAUUAUGGUGUCUUUUGUUAAGCAGGGGUUUUUUGUUUCAUCAAUCUUUGCCUUUUUGAUGUAUGCUUUUGGCUGUCUUAUUCAACAAAUCCUUCCCUAUCCCAAGAUCAAAAACAUAUCUCUUACAUUUUCUCCUAAAAUGCCUAAAAUGUUAAAGGCUUUUUAUGUUUAGGUUUUAAUCCCCCUGGAAUGAACACUUAAGUGUAUGGUAUGAGAAUUUUAUUUUCUGUGUGGAUAGCCAUCUGUUCCAUGAUAAUAUUUUGAAUAGUUUGUCCUGUUUCCAAUUAUUUGUAAUAUAUCAUAUACCAUAUCUUUCUCUAUAUAUGGUUCUUUUCUAGGCUUUCUAUUCUGUUACAUAUAUGUGUAGUUGACCCUCUAUAUCCAUGAGUUCCACAUCCAGGGAGUAAACCAACUGGAUCAGGAGUUCCCAUCAUGGAGCAGUGGAAACGAAUCCAACUAGGAACCACAAAACUGUGGGUUUGAUCCCUGGCCUCGCUCAGUGGGUUAAGGAUCUGGCAUUGCCGUGAGCUGUGCUGUAGGUUGCAGACACAGCUCAGAUCUGAUGUUGCUAUGGCUGUGGUAUAGGCUGACAGCUGUAGCUCUGAUUUGACCCCUAGCCUGAGAACUUCCAUAUGCCGGGAGUGCAUCCCUAAAAAGCAAAAAAAAAAAAAAA
rnacentral:lncRNA from 1 species